rnacentral:rRNA from 1 species
GGGUUGUGAGGUUAAGCGACUAAGCGUACACGGUGGAUGCCCUGGCAGUCAGAGGCGAUGAAGGACGUGCUAAUCUGCGAAAAGCGCCGGCGAGGUGAUAUGAACCCUUGACCCGGCGAUGUCCGAAUGGGNNNNNNNNNNAGAGUCUGAAUCAGCUUGUGUGUUAGUGGAAGCGUCUGGAAAGUCGCACGGUACAGGGUGACAGUCCCGUACACGAAAAUGCACAGGUUGUGAACUCGAAGAGUAGGGCGGGACACGUGGUAUCCUGUCUGAAUAUGGGGGGACCAUCCUCCAAGGCUAAAUACUCCUGACUGACCGAUAGUGAACCAGUACCGUGAGGGAAAGGCGAAAAGAACCCCGGCGAGGGGAGUGAAAAAGAACCUGAAACCGUGUACGUACAAGCAGUGGGAGCACCUUCGGGUGUGACUGCGUACCUUUUGUAUAAUGGGUCAGCGACUUAUAUUCUGUAGCAAGGUUAACCGUAUAGGGGAGCCGAAGGGAAACCGAGUCUUAACUGGGCGUUAAGUUGCAGGGUAUAGACCCGAAACCCGGUGAUCUAGCCAUGGGCAGGUUGAAGGUUGGGUAACACUAACUGGAGGACCGAACCGACUAAUGUUGAAAAAUUAGCGGAUGACCUGUGGCUGGGGGUGAAAGGCCAAUCAAACCGGGAGAUAGCUGGUUCUCCCCGAAAGCUAUUUAGGUAGCGCCUCGUGAACUCAUCUUCGGGGGUAGAGCACUGUUUCGGCUAGGGGGCCAUCCCGGCUUACCAACCCGAUGCAAACUACGAAUACC